UUAGGAAGAAAUCCUUCACUGUGGGAGUGGUGAGGCUCUGGCAGGGGCUGCCCAGAGAAGCUGUGGCUGCCCCAUCCCUGCAAGUGUUCAGGA